rnacentral:rRNA from 1 species
GAUGAACGCUGGCGGCGUGCCUAAUACAUGCAAGUCGAGCGGUAAGGCCCUUCGGGGUACACGAGCGGCGGACGGCUGAGUAACACGUAGGAACGUACCCCAAACUGAGGGAUAAGCACCAGAAAUGGUGUCUAAUACCGCAUGUGGCCCACGGGCUAAAGCUCCGGCGGUUUGGGAACGGCCUGCGUCCGAUUAGCUAGUUGGUGAGGUAAUUGCUCACCAAGGCGACGAUCGGUAGCUGGUCUGAGAGGAUGAUCAGCCAGACUGGGACUGAGACACGGCCCAGACUCCUACGGGAGGCAGCAGUAGGGAAUUUUCCACAAUGGGGGCAACCCUGAUGGAGCAACGCCGCGUGCAGGAUGAAGGCCUUCGGGUUGUAAACUGCUUUUAUCUGUGACGAUUAUGACGGUAGCAGAUGAAUAAGGACCUGCUAACUACGUGCCAGCCGCCGCGGUAAAAC